rnacentral:rRNA from 2 species
AUAAUAAUAAAAAUAAUAGAUUUGAAAUAUUUAUUAUAUAGAUUUAAAGAGAUAAUCAUGGAAUACAUAUAUUAUAAUAAUAUUAUAUUAUAAUAAUACUAUUAAUAGUUAAUUAGGUUACUAAUAAAAUAUAUAUAUUAUAUUAUAUAUAUUUUUAAUACCUAAAGGUAAACCUUAAAUUAUAUAUAUAUAUUAAUUUAUUUUAUAUAUAAUAAAAUAAGACUAAGUGAACUGAAACAUCUUAGUAACUUAAGGAAUAAAAAUCAACAGAGAUAUUAUGAGUAUUGGUGAGAGAAAAUAAUAAUAGGUCGUAAAAAGUAUUAUGUAUUAAUUAAUAUGUAAGAAUAUAGGAUUAACAAUUUCUAAGACUAAAUACUAUUAAUAAGUUAAGAAAGUACCGUGAGGGAAAGUAUGUAAAUGGUUAUUUUAUAAGCAAUUAUAGAUAUUAUAUAUAAUAUCAAUAAUGUACCUUUUGUAUAAUGGGUCAGCAAGUAAUUAAUAUUAGCAAAAUUAAAUAAUUAUAUAAAAAUAGAAAUAAAUAUAUAUAUAAAAAUAUAUUAAGAGUUAAUAUUAAUUGACCCGAAAGCAUAUGAUCUUACUAUGACAAGAUGGUUAAAAACGAUCGAACAGGUUAAUGUUGCAAAAUUAUCUGAUUAGUUGUGGUAAGGUAUGAAAGAUAAAUCUGAUAUGCAGAUAGCUGGUUUUCUAUGAAAUAUAUGUUAGUAUAGCCCUUAUAAUUAAAUAAUUAAUAAUAAUAUAAUAAUUUAUUAUAUUAUUAUUGAAUGGUACAGCAAUUAAUAUAUAUUGGGGAAUUAUUAUAAUUUUAUCAAUAAUAUUUAAUCUCGAAAUAUUUAAUUAUAUAUAAUUAAUUUAAUUAAUUAUAUAAUUUAUAAGGAGUCAGAUUAUGUGCGAUAAGGUAAAUAAUCUAAAGGGAAACAGCCCAGAUUAAUAUAUAAAGUUCCAAAUUUUAUAAAAUAUAUAUAAAAAAAAUAUAUUUAAUUUAUAAAUUUAAUUUAUAAAUAAUAAUAAGUGAAAAUAAUAUUAAAAUAUUAUUAAAUAAUCAGUUAAUGGGUUUGACAAUAACCAUUUUUUAAUGAACAUGUAACAAUGCACUGAUCAAUAAUAUUAUAUAAUAUUUCAAAUUAAAUUAAUUUUUAAUUAAUUUAUUAAUAAACAAUAUACGGAUCUUAUUAAUUAUAAAAAUUAUUAAACUGAAUAUUUAAAUAUUAUUAAUUAUUAUUAAAAUAAUUAAUAAUAUGGUAAUAGAACAUCUAAUGAAAGAGUAUAUUAAUUAAAUAUUAAUAUAUUAAUAAAUAAUUAGAUAGAGAAUGCUGACAUGAGUAACGAUAAAAAGGUUUAAACCUUUUCACCUAAAACAUAAGGUUUUACUAUAAAAGUACGGCACCUAAUAUAAAUAUGAAUAUAAAUAUAUUAUAGAUGGUAAAAAUCUAAUUUAAUAAUAAAAAUCUUUAUAGAUAUAUAUUAUAUAUAUAUAUAAAUUAAUAAAGAUCAGGAAAUAAAUUAUUAAAUGUAUACCGUAAUGUAUACCGACUCAGGUAUGUUAGUAGAGAAUAUGAAGGUGUAUUAGAUAAUUAAGGAUAAGGAACUCGGCAAAAAUAGCUCUAACGUUAGUCAAUAAAGAGAUAUAAAAACAAGGUUGUACAACUGUUUACUAAAAACACCGCACUUUGCAAAAACUAUUUAAGUUAUAGUAUAAGGUGUGAACUCUGCUCAAUGCUUAAUAUAUAAAUUAUAUAUUUAUUAAAGAAUAUAUAAAUAAAUUUAAGUAAAUAGCAGCCUUAUUAUGAGGGUUAUAAUGUAGCGAAAUUCCUUGGCUGAUAAUUACAGUCCCGCAUGAAUGACGUAAUGAUACAACAACUGUCUCAUCCUUAAACUAAGUGAAAUUGAAUUUGCAGUGAAGAUGCUGUAUAUUUGUAGUUAGACAAGAAGACCCUAUGCAGCUUUACUAUAAUUAGAUAGAUCGAAUUAUUAUUUAUUAUAUUCAGCAUAUUAAGUAAUUUAUAUAUAUAUAUAUAUAUAUAAUAAUCGUUUAGAUAUAAAUGAGAUACUUAUUAUAAUAAUAUAAUAAUUCUAAUCUUUAAUAAAUAUAUAUAUAUUUAAUAGAAAAUUAAUAUAUUCUUAAAUAUAUUUUAUAAUAUUAUUAUUAUUAAUAAUAUUAUAUAUUAAGAGACAAUCUCUAAUUGGUAGUUUUGAUGGGGCGUCAUUUUCAGCAAAAGUAUCUGAAUAAGUCCAUAUAUAAAUUAUUAUAAAAUUUUAUUUAUAAUAUAAAGUAUAUAUUAUAUAUACUAAUUAUAAAAUAUAUUAUAUAUUUUUAUAUAUAUAAUAUAAUAAUAGAAAAAUUAUAUACAGUAAAAUUGUCUGGAAAACAAUAAUAUUUAUUUAUUUUUAAUAAAUAUUAAAUUAAUAUAAUAGUAUAACUGUGUAAAGAUUAUGACACAAACAAGUGGAAUAAGUACGUAAGUAUGGUAUAAUGAACAAAUAAUACUGAUUGUAAAGGUUAUUGAUAACGAAUAAAAGUUACGCUAGGGAUAACAGGGUAAUAUAACGAAAGAGUAGAAAUUGUAAGUUAUGUUUGCCACCUCGAUGUCGACUCUACCUAUCCUAUUGGUUGUAAAAGCUAAUAAGGGUUCGACUGUUCGUCGAUUAAAAGGUAACGUGAGUUGGGUUAAAUACGACGUGAGUCAGUAUGGUUUUUAUCUACUACAAAUAAUAUUAUCUUAUUAAAUCUCAUUAUUAGUACGCAAGGACCAUAAUGAAUUAACCUAUGGUGUACCUAUUAAUUAUUAUAUUAAAUAAUACAUAAAUAAUUUAUUUAUUAUUUAAUCAAUAUUAAUUUAUAUCUUAAUAAUUGUUAUAGUAGGUAAGCUAAGUUAAUAAAUAAUAAAUAUUGAAUACAUAUAAAAUAUGAAGUAGUUUUAAAACGAUAAUAUAUACUAAUAAUCUUAUACUAAGAUUAAUAUAGGUUUUAUAUAUAUUUUAAUAUACAUAAAAUACUAAUUUAUUAGUUAUCUAUAUAAUAUCUAAUCUAUUAUUUUUAUUAUUAUUAUUAAUAUUAUAUAAAAAUAAUUUAUA